rnacentral:rRNA from 1 species
AUGGGCGAAAGCCUGAUCCAGCAAUGCCGCGUGCAGGAUGAAGGCCUUCGGGUGUGUAAACUGCUUUUGUACGGAACGAAAAAGCUCCUUCUAAUACAGGGGGCCCAUGACGGUACCGUAAGAAUAAGCACCGGCUAACUACGUGCCAGCAGCCGCGGUAAUACGUAGGGUGCGAGCGUUAAUCGGAAUUACUGGGCGUAAAGCGUGCGCAGGCGGUUAUGUAAGACAGAUGUGAAAUCCCCGGGCUCAACCUGGGAACUGCAUUGUGUGACUGCAUGGCUAGAGUACGGUAGAGGGGGAUGGAAUUCCGCGUGUAGCAGUGAAAUGCGUAGAUAUGCGGAGGAACACCGAUGGCGAAGGCAAUCCCCUGGACCUGUACUGACGCUCAUGCACGANAGCGUGGGGAGCAAACAGGAUUAGAUACCCUGGUAGUCCACGCCCUAAACGAUGUCAACUGGUUGUUGGGAAUUAGUNUUCUCAGUAACGAAGCUAACGCGUGAAGUUGACCGCCUGGGGAGUANNGCCGCAA